rnacentral:rRNA from 1 species
ACUCCUACGGGAGGCAACAGUAGGGAAUCUUCCACAAUGGGCGCAAGCCUGAUGGAGCAACACCGCGUGAGUGAAGAAGGGUUUCGGCUCGUAAAGCUCUGUUGUUAAAGAAGAACACGUAUGAGAGUAACUGUUCAUACGUUGACGGUAUUUAACCAGAAAGUCACGGCUAACUACGUGCCAGCAGCCGCGGUAAUACGUAGGUGGCAAGCGUUAUCCGGAUUUAUUGGGGCGUAAAGAGAGUGCAGGCGGUUUUCUAAGUCUGAUGUGAAAGCCUUCGGCUUAACCGGAGAAGUGCAUCGGAAACUGGAUAACUUGAGUGCAGAAGAGGGUAGUGGAACUCCAUGUGUAGCGGUGGAAUGCGUAGAUAUAUGGAAGAACACCAGUGGCGAAGGCGGCUACCUGGUCUGCAACUGACGCUGAGACUCGAAAGCAUGGGUAGCGAACAGGAUUAGAUACCCUGGUAGGAUAGCG